UUUAAUUUUUUAUUUCAAUUUUGACACUAUGUUUUUUUUGUUCCUAUCGAACAUCAUUUAUCAAAUUUUGUUCAAUUUUGUCUAUUUUCCAUUUGAAACCGUAUAAAUAUAUUUUUUUAUUGAGAAAAUUACACGGUUGGUCCCUAUGGUUUGCUCUUACUUGCACGCUUCGUCCCUGGAAAGAAUUUUUAACUCGGACAAUCCCUAUAACUUUAUUUCGUUACCCGCCUAGUCCUUCAGUUAACUUUCCGUCUUAUUUGGGGUUAGGAACUACUCACGUGAGUGGCACGCUGGGGGCAUUUUUGUCCUUUCAACCCUACAACGGACUUAAAACUAUUUCUCCUUCCUUCUUUUCUCAAUCGGUGCUUCCAGUUCUCCUCUUCUACUCCAUUUCUUUUGCUCGUGAAGAUUGAAGAUCCACAAAAUUGAUUAUGGUGAAAUGCAAGUGUGGAGCUGUAGGGAUCAUACGAACUGCAGGAACAAAGAGAAAUCCUGGUAGGCCUUUUUAUGCAUGCCCUUUACAGGGACCAAGAAGUGGAUUUAUUUCGUGGGUAGAUGAAGAAAAGCAUACGUAUGAGGCUGAAAGCCAAAAUCUUGAGCUUGAAAUCCAUAAUGAAGAACUUCAAAUCCAAAAUCGUGACCUUGAAAUCCAGAAUGAAGAACUUGAAAUCCAAAAUCGGAACCUUAAAAUGUUGUUAAUUGUCAGUUGGAUUUUGUUUUUUGGGAUAAUUGUUUACAAGUUGUAGUAUUAGGUAUUUCAGUAAUGGUUUUUGGUUGAAGAUAAUCUAAUGAAAGGGUAAUAUUAGCAUGUUUGUAUUGCUGCAUUUUAAUGAAAUGGUAUAUUUAGGUACAA